AUGCUUCUGAGUCCAUUUGGUCCAUAAUGUUAGCUUUGUAAUAGUCCUUUGUAGCAGGAGAGUCUGUGUGAAGUGCUGGAUUCUUGCCUGCUGAUGUUGAUCAUUCCUUUACUGCAGAACUCAUCUGGUCCUAUCAAAGUUCAUUCUCUGUUGGGAUGAUGGUUAGAGGGAAGUCAGGGCCAGUUUCUGGUGACCUGAAGACAUCUAGUUGAUGGAAUAUAAAAGUAUUACACAGCAAGCAACAACAUAUAAUUAAGUUCAUUGGCUGUUUUCCCCUAAAAUCAAAUCCCCUUGAGGUAUACAUAGGACUUCCCCAUGUGGAAGUCACUUCUCCAUAACAAGUAGUGUGUAUUUAUCACAGGAAAGGAUUUUUUUCAGUCCUACAAGCAUGACAGCACAGCUGCUAGAAGUUGAAGCCAGGCCACUGCCCUGAGGAAGAAAACUGAACACUGGAACAGUUCAUCAGAAGAGUGGUGAAAAGAUGCCAUUAUCAAAACAAUGUCUUGGAGCCUUGGAACAGUCACAAGACCAAAAAGAGUGUAUGACACUGAUCCUACAAUGACUUCCUU
rnacentral:lncRNA from 14 species